rnacentral:rRNA from 1 species
ACGAACGCUGGCGGCGUGGAUAAGACAUGCAAGUCGAACGAGAGAAUUGCUAGCUUGCUAAUAAUUCUCUAGUGGCGCACGGGUGAGUAACACGUGAGUAACCUGCCCCCGAGAGCGGGAUAGCCCUGGGAAACUGGGAUUAAUACCGCAUAGUAUCGAAAGAUUAAAGCAGCAAUGCGCUUGGGGAUGGGCUCGCGGCCUAUUAGUUAGUUGGUGAGGUAACGGCUCACCAAGGCGAUGACGGGUAGCCGGUCUGAGAGGAUGUCCGGCCACACUGGAACUGAGACACGGUCCAGACACCUACGGGUGGCAGCAGUCGAGAAUCAUUCACAAUGGGGGAAACCCUGAUGGUGCGACGCCGCGUGGGGGAAUGAAGGUCUUCGGAUUGUAAACCCCUGUCAUGUGGGAGCAAAUUAAAAAGAUAGUACCACAAGAGGAAGAGACGGCUAACUCUGUGCCAGCAGCCGCGGUAAUACAGAGGUCUCAAGCGUUGUUCGGAAUCACUGGGCGUAAAGCGUGCGUAGGCUGUUUCGUAAGUCGUGUGUGAAAGGCGCGGGCUCAACCCGCGGACGGCACAUGAUACUGCGAGACUAGAGUAAUGGAGGGGGAACCGGAAUUCUCGGUGUAGCAGUGAAAUGCGUAGAUAUCGAGAGGAACACUCGUGGCGAAGGCGGGUUCCUGGACAUUAACUGACGCUGAGGCACGAAGGCCAGGGGAGCGAAAGGGAUUAGAUACCCCUGUAGUCCUGGCAGUAAACGGUGCACGCUUGGUGUGCGGGGAAUCGACCCCCUGCGUGCCGGAGCUAACGCGUUAAGCGUGCCGCCUGGGGAGUACGGUCGCAAGAUUAAAACUCAAAGAAAUUGACGGGGACCCGCACAAGCGGUGGAGUAUGUGGCUUAAUUCGAUGCAACGCGAAGAACCUUACCUGGGCUUGACAUGUAAUGAACAACAUGUGAAAGCAUGCGACUCUUCGGAGGCAUUACACAGGUGCUGCAUGGCCGUCGUCAGCUCGUGUCGUGAGAUGUUUGGUUAAGUCCAGCAACGAGCGCAACCCCUGUUGCCAGUUACCAGCACGUGAAGGUGGGGACUCUGGCGAGACUGCCCAGAUCAACUGGGAGGAAGGUGGGGACGACGUCAGGUCAGUAUGGCCCUUAUGCCCAGGGCUGCACACGUACUACAAUGCCCAGUACAGAGGGGGCCGAAGCCGCGAGGCGGAGGAAAUCCUAAAAACUGGGCCCAGUUCGGACUGUAGGCUGCAACCCGCCUACACGAAGCCGGAAUCGCUAGUAAUGGCGCAUCAGCUACGGCGCCGUGAAUACGUUCCCGGGUCUUGUACACACCGCCCGUCACAUCAUGGAAGCCGGUCGCACCCGAAGUAUCUGAAGCCAACCGCAAGGAGGCAGGGUCCUAAGGUGAGACUGGUAACUGGGAUG